CCUUGGAGAAUAAUAAAACUGAAACACUGAGAUCCAAAGCCUCCAAUUUCCAUCAUCACCGAUUAGCUUCUACGACUGCAAGAUGAAUCUGAUUAAUGCGGUUAUGGCCACCAGGAUGUUGACGAUGCUUGGCCACUCUAACGGCGUCGGAGAAGGUAUUCAUUUUGGUUCCAUCUGGUGGUUCAUUUACGCUGCCAUCUCCUGCAUACUCGUCCUCUUUGCCGGUAUCAUGUCCGGUCUCACUCUCGGUCUCAUGUCCCUCGGCCUCGUCGACCUUGAAAUUCUCCAACGCAGUGGCACCUCCUCUGAGAAGAAACAAGCAGCUGCUAUUCUUCC
rnacentral:misc_RNA from 1 species